rnacentral:rRNA from 1 species
AUUGAACGCUGGCGGCAGGCCUAACACAUGCAAGUCGAGCGGAUGAAGGGAGCUUGCUCCUGGAUUCAGCGGCGGACGGGUGAGUAAUGCCUAGGAAUCUGCCUGGUAGUGGGGGAUAACGUCCGGAAACGGGCGCUAAUACCGCAUACGUCCUGAGGGAGAAAGGGGGGGAUCUUCGGACCUCACGCCAUCAGAGGAGCCUAGGUCGGAUUAGCUAGUUGGUGGGGUAAAGGCCUACCAAGGCGACGAUCCGUAACUGGUCUGAGAGGAUGAUCAGUCACACUGGAACUGAGACACGGUCCAGACUCCUACGGGAGGCAGCAGUGGGGAAUAUUGGACAAUGGGCGAAAGCCUGAUCCAGCCAUGCCGCGUGUGUGAAGAAGGUCUUCGGAUUGUAAAGCACUUUAAGUUGGGAGGAAGGGCAGUAAGUUAAUACCUUGCUGUUUUGACGUUACCAACAGAAUAAGCACCGGCUAACUUCGUG